GACGGAGGGUGCAAGCGUUGUUCGGAAUUACUGGGCGUAAAGCGCGGGCAGGUGGCUCUUUAAGUCCUUUGUGAAAUUCCGGGGCUCAACUCCGGAUGUGCAUAGGAUACUGGAGAGCUAGAGACUGGUAGAGGCGAGCGGAAUUCCUGGUGUAGCGGUGAAAUGCGCAGAUAUCAGGAGGAACACCGGUGGCGAAGGCGGGUCUCUGGGCCGAUACUGACGCUGAGGAGCGAAAGCGUGGGGAGCGAACAGG
rnacentral:rRNA from 1 species